rnacentral:sRNA from 1 species
AGUACGAAGAAUUAAUAUCUAUACGAUUCAAUACUAGGGGAACCUGAAAAUGACAAUAGCUUCAACGAAAAGGAUAAUCUAUCUGCUUCCCAAUGCAACAAAUCAACCGCUAUGCUCCAAUGUCAUGUCCGAUUUGCAACCGUGUCUAUCAAUAACUAUACAGUAAAUGGUCAUCAGUAAACAUGUAAGCAGUAAAAGUUAAACUGAAAAUAAAAGAAGAAGAAGAAGAAGAAGAAGAAGAAGAAGAAGAAGAAGAGAAAAGAAGAACAAAAACCAAAGAGAAACCCCUUAUUUCAAAAACACCGGAACACCAUACACCACUGGAGCUGCUCCGUUAAGAUAUUGCAAAAUGCAAGCACUUCGGGAAUUAGCAACUGCGGUAUCAAGUCCUACAGGACCACCCAUUUGGGACGGCUUUAUUGGUCUGGGAAGAAGAGGUUUCAUAGUCUUUGACCCUUUAGUCCUGCUUCCUUGAUUGGUCUCAACCGGCGCCUUGUCCAUGAGACCCCA